rnacentral:rRNA from 1 species
UACGUAGGGUGCGAGCGUUGUCCGGAAUUAUUGGGCGUAAAGAGCUCGUUGGCGGUCUGUCGCGUCGGUCGUGAAAACUUGGGGCUUAACCCUGAGCUUGCGGUCGAUACGGGCAUGACUGGAGUUCGGUAGGGGAGACUGGAAUUCCUGGUGUAGCGGUGAAAUGCGCAGAUAUCAGGAGGAACACCGGUGGCGAAGGCGGGUCUCUGGGCCGAUACUGACGCUGAGGAGCGAAAGCGUGGGGAGCGAACAGG